UUUUUCAGGACACGCGGCUGGAUAGGCUCUUUGUUGAUUGAAUCCUUCCCGACACCUUCCUGGGAUCUCCAGAGCUCCAAGGCUGCCUACAAUGGUCCAGACUUUUCCUGGGAGCUGAUAUGGAGAAUUCCAAGGCUGUGGUUGGAACAGCCCCGUGCCAUAUCAGUGUGGUGAGGAAUGAUGCUCCAGCUGGAAGAACACCACAAAAUUCCCUCUCCCUCAUAUUCCCAAGUCAUUCCUGCACAAAGCUCACAGAUCCUUCCAGAGGUUUCGGGACUUCCAGGGGUGCCUGCCCAGCCGGGAGCGGAUCGUGCCGAAGGGAGACCUUGGAAGUGCCACGGGCUGGAUGAAACGAUUUGUCGGAAUGCUAAAUUUGGCAGCAGCUUUUCAUCCAAACCGGAGCCACUUUGCACCUGUCUGGGGAGAUAAAGGGACUCGGAAUGAGCGUGAGUGGGAUUUUUCUGCCUGAACGGGAUACAAAGGCUUCGGCACAAAUGAAUUCCAGAGCUUCAAAGCCUUUCCUG